GUCCCGCCGCCCCCGCCCGCCUACGGGAGGCAGCAGUGGGGAAUUUUGGACAAUGGGCGAAAGCCUGAUCCAGCAAUGCCGCGUGCAGGAUGAAGGCCUUCGGGUUGUAAACUGCUUUUGUACGGAACGAAAAAGCUCCUUCUAAUACAGGGGGCCCAUGACGGUACCGUAAGAAUAAGCACCGGCUAACUACGUGCCAGCAGCCGCGGUAAUACGUAGGGUGCGAGCGUUAAUCGGAAUUACUGGGCGUAAAGCGUGCGCAGGCGGUUAUGUAAGACAGAUGUGAAAUCCCCGGGCUCAACCUGGGAACUGCAUUUGUGACUGCAUGGCUAGAGUACGGUAGAGGGGGAUGGAAUUCCGCGUGUAGCAGUGAAAUGCGUAGAUAUGCGGAGGAACACCGAUGGCGAAGGCAAUCCCCUGGACCUGUACUGACGCUCAUGCACGAAAGCGUGGGGAGCAAACAGGAUUAGAUACCCUGGUAGUCCACGCCCUAAACGAUGU
rnacentral:rRNA from 1 species